GCCCGCCGCCGGGCACCGCCGCUGCCGGAGCCCGGGCCUGGCGCCCCGGCCCCGCGGCCUUAACCCCUUCGCGCCCGCGGACGCCACGCGUCCGGGAGAGGCCGGGCCCUGGCACCUGCUGGCUGCGGGCGCGCGCGGCCACCCCGGCGCUCGAGGGCCCCGUUGGCCCGGGGACGCUGCUGAAGUCACACGCCAGACGACCGAGGCGCCGCGUGGGCCGAGAAGCCCGCGGGCUCGCCCCCUGGAGGUUGGCGACGUCCGCCCCGGCCGAGAGUGCCGCGCGGCAGCGGAGAGGGGCGUGGCGGCCGCAGGCCUCGCCGGACCCGCACAGGGUCGCGGGAGGGGGGCCGCGCUAGCAGUCUUUUGAACCUAAGUCCCGCAGCGAUUGGCCAGCCCAGAGGGAAUUGCAGCCAGUUUCACAGAGGAGGAAACUCAGGACCAGACUGGGAAGUGACUUAGACAAGGGCACACGGCCAUACUUGGCUCCAGGCGCUUCUCCUGGCGCCCGCUCUUUCCACGUCGCCACGAGGUCUCCACGGAACCCCAUGUUGUAAAAGCUGUCUUCUCGAGGUUGGACGAACCCUGCCCUAGGACAAAAUCCUGCCGGGGCCCCCUGGAGGUGGGAAGAUGAGUGUUUUCUGCCAUCAUCAGACAUGGGGACCCAAGGUCAAGGAUUUCAAGAUCCUUCCCUGUGCUGCCCUGCUGCUUCGCUGGGACAGGCCUGUCUUCCACAGUCUCUGUGUCCCCCAGGGGACAAAGAAAGGAGAGCAUGGAAGGGCCCCGAGUUUCCUACUUGGGGUUCCCCGGGGGAAGUGUAAGCCAGAUAGCACCUACCAUAACCACCCCACCAUCCACGGAAGGAGAGAGAAACAGCCCGGCCUGCAGCUUUGCCCUGUGUUCCAGGAUCACCUCUGCGAAGAUGCUUGCUGAGGUGACCACCAGAGGAGCCUCUCCCUGCAGGUGACACUCUGCCCCAAGCCUGCUGGGCAGGGCACAGACCCCACUGGAAAAAUGACUCCUGAGCCAAAGAACACACAUCGGUCCCCACACUGUGAGUUUUUGGCACAGGGAGAAGGGAGAGGGGGAGGACGAUCUGUCACUGCCGGGGCCAAGCCUUCCCUUCUCUGCACCUCAGUCUCCCCACCUGCAAAAUGGGAGCAAAGCUCCCCAGGGUGACAGCACCAAACACGGGUGAGGGUGUGGAGACACAGGGACUGUCCUUCAUUGCUGGUGCAAACGCAAGGUGGCCCAGCCACUUUGGAAGACAGGGUGACAGUGUCUUACCAGACUAAACAUACUCUUACCAUACGAUCCAUUGAUUAUGCUCCUUGGCAUUUACCCAAAGGAGUUGAAAACCUACGUCGACACAAACACCCACACGAGGUGUUUAUAGCGGUAAACAGCCUCGUUCGUAAUUGCCCAAACUUGGAAGCAACCGAGAUGUCCUUCAGCAGGGGAGUGGGUAACCCUCAACAGUACAUCCAGACAACGGAAUAUCAUUCAGCACUAAGAAGAAAUGAGCUCUCAAGCCAGGAAAAGACACGGAGGAACCUGACGCGCAUGUCAUGAAGUGAAGGAAGUCCGUCUGAAAAGGCCACAUACGAUGAGAAAAUUGAAGCGUGGAAGUCAAAGAACAGGAAGCGUCAGACUCAAGAACGAGGGUGGGGAUCAGCGGGUCGGAGUUUUUUAUUGAAUACUUUGCAUCACUGUACCCCGCCCCCCAGGUCCUCGAGCUGCUACAAGGUCAGUAGAGUCAGGCAUGAGUGAGCAAGAGAGGGAGAGAGAAAUGCACACUGUGCUGAGCUGUUGCUGCAAAAUCCUUCCUUUUGGACCCCAGCAAAUCGAUAGUCAAGAGAGGCCAAACCUGGGCCCCCAGCGCCCUGGCUCCUGCCACAUUCACCCCAGGAGCACCGGGCAGCACUACUGGGCUCCUCCCCCCCUUGUGACUUCUGCUGCCACAUUCCAGGCCAGGAAAGGAAAGCCAGGAGCCGGGGAGCCUAAGUUGCUCUUUCGCCACGCCACGGAGGAGGCCUGUGGAGAAUGGAUGGGUCACAGCGUAGGGAGGGGGCAGGCAGGAGCCUGGAGCAGCGAGGCAUCCAGGGCCAGAAGCAAGUCUUUGCAGCAUGUGACUCCCUGCAGGUGUGACCCGAGGCUGGAGGGGAGGGGACGGCCCGGGGUCUCUACAGGCACCUCCUGUAUCCACAAGAUUGAGACAGGAUUUUAAGUGGGGGCCCCUCAGAGAGGAUGUUUGGGGUGGUGGUAAAGAGCGUCAGACUUUAGAAUCAGCCCCAUCUGAGUCCAAAUCCUGUCUCUGCCACUCGCUGGCUGUGUGACCUUCGUGGAAUUACCUAACCUCUCCGGGCCUGUUUCCUCUUCUAUCAAACAGAGAAAAUGAUUGACAGCAGCCACCUGCUGGGGCAAAGUCUGUCCCUGGCCUGGGAUGGAGACUGGAGAGAGUAAGGACUCAGGAUAUACUGGCUGCUUAUCUGCUGUACAUUGGGAUUCCGAAUAAUGCCUGCCUUGUUGCGGAGCUUAAACGAGUAGCAUCCACGAAAAGCGCUUAGGAAGGACCCCGGCACAGAGAAGGUGCUAUUUUUAACACUAACACCCUCUUUGCUCCCACCCUUCUCAUGUGUGCAGGACACCUAGGGCAUGGGGAAGGGGCCGCUUGACUUCAGGAUGCAAAGUGCAAAGCUGCCUCCCCGCAGCGGUGGAGGAAAGACGGAAAGACGGGGCUGCAGGAAUUCGUUAGCACCAAUUAACACCGUGAGGCUCCCUUCUGCUCUCACCCUGGUCUGCCUCCCUGCUGGCUUGGGGCCGAGAACCACAUGGCAGAGGAAGCAGCCAGGCCCAGGGGAUGAGGGGGAUGUUGUGGAACCAUCGGCUAAGACUGGGGGCCCCCCAGCAGGUAUUAUUCCUAGCUGGGCAGGAAGGUUCCAGAAAGCAGUGAGGCAGACACAGAGCAUCAGGCAGGCCUGGUCUUGGGGGCAUAGACAAAUGCCUCUUCCAGGCAGUGACCCUUUCUAGUGCAUCUGACAUGCGGAGUGGGGGUCAUCCCUUCCCCGACACAGCAAACUUACUUGUAGCUGUGCUCUUGCGAUGAAAGAAAUAAUAAAA